GUUUUAUGUGCAACAAUUGAUUCUAUCAGAUAAUCAGACCAAGGCAUUCCACUGGUAAUUUUCCCUCAAAUCAAUUCAGGUGAAAUUAGAUAUUUAUGUACUUCCUGGGCUAUCAAAACUUGAGAUUUCAUUAUCAACUUCAGUUCUGAAGCCAUACACACAAUUCAAAAUAUACAUUAACUAGGUUAAGUCAAUAAAAGUGGGCUGAAAGAAACCACAGGAUUCAAACAAUGAAACCAUGUAUUUUGUUUGCCUGAGAGUCACAAUGUGAACAACAAUUAUUUCGCAUAUCUCAUAGCUCUUCAGUGUAGAGGGAGUGGCUUCUGAACAUAAGGUCAUUGCACAGCAGGUGGG
rnacentral:lncRNA from 1 species